GGGUCCAUAGCUCAGUAGUAGGGCUUUUGAGUGUAGAUCAAGAGGUUAGUGAUUCAUACUCGCUUCGGCCCU
rfam:Lupinus angustifolius cultivar Tanjil chromosome LG07, whole genome shotgun sequence.